rnacentral:rRNA from 1 species
AUGCUGUUCCUAUCAUCCGUGGAUAUGCCUUGUCAUCCAUGGAUGGCCAUGGUUAUCCUCCCCCUCCUCCUCGUGCUCCUCGUGCCUCUCGCCGCUGCCGAAACUUGGCCAUUUUGCGGCAACAGCGGUAACUAUGAAUCAAAUAGCACCUACAAAGCCAACCUCAGGCACCUCUCGUCCACCCUCCCAAAGAAGGCAGCAACCAGCACCACCCUCUUCGCCACCGACACCCAUGGCAAUGUUCCGAAUGUCAUCUUUGCCCUCGCACUCUGCCGCGGGGACUACAACGCCUCUGCCUGUGAGGGCUGUUUGGUUACCGCCUUCCAGGACGGACAGGAGAACUGCCCGAACAGUAAGGACACCACCGUGUACUACUAUGGUAAUCCUUGCAUGCUCAGGUUCUCCAACCAGAAUUUUCUUGCCACCACCGUCAAUGACAAAAUACACGUCAUUGCUGUGAGCAUGGAAAUGCCGCUCAACACCUCGAUAAGAGAUGACUCCUUCAGGUUCUUGUUGUUCACACUUCUGAACAACACAGCUCAAUCGGCUGAGAAUAGCCCCAGGAGGUUCACCACCUCGCGGUUAGAUGUCAGCUCCCUCCCGACGGUCUACUGCCUUAUGCAGUGCACGCCCGACCUGACCGCUGAUGACUGUGCAGCCUGUUUCCAGCCUUACCCCUCGUUAACGUUCAGGCACAUGGACGGUAAUAAAGGUGGUCAAAUUCUGGGGACACGGUGUAGCAUGAGGUACGAGAUAUACCCAUUCUUCCAAGGGAAGCCCAUGCUGCGUAUUGUCAGCUUGGCAUCUGCAGUUCCGGCGAUCAACAACACCUUGCCGCCAGUUACAGUGUACCCGCACCUGCCGUCACAACCGCAGUCACCGGUUGCGGCACCAUCACAUCCGGAGGCGCAAGCGAGCACCCAAGAACUUCAUGGACGCAACUCACACCGGAACGCGCUGCGGAUUAUUGCUAUUGCAGCUCCAUUACUGUCAAUAUUUCUGUGCUUUAUCUGUUGCAUUGUAUGGAUGACAAGACGAAGAAAAGGAACUGAUAUCUUACACGAUCAAGCUGCCACGAAUAGGCUGGAAGAAGACGCAUUGGUUUUGAGAUUGGAAGACAAGAGUUCAGAGCUCACUCUCUUUGAGUUUUCUGAGAUAUUGCAUGCUACACACAACUUCUCCAAAGAAAACCUACUUGGGCAAGGUGGUUUUGGUCCUGUCUACAAGGGCCAAUUACCAGAUGGAAUGGAAAUUGCAGUUAAAAGGCUUGCCUCACAUUCAGGACAGGGUUUCACAGAAUUCAAAAAUGAAGUUGAACUUAUUGCGAAACUACAGCACAAUAAUCUGGUCAAGCUCAUAGGAUGCUGCAUUGAGGGAGAGGAAAAACUUUUGGUGUAUGAAUAUUUGCCAAAUAAGAGCUUGGACUUCUUUAUCUUUGAUGUUAGCCAAACAACUGUGGUUGAUUGGAAUAAAAGAUGUGUGAUAAUCGAAGGGAUAGCCCAAGGUCUACUGUAUCUCCACAAGCACUCUCGGUUGCGCAUCAUACACAGGGACCUUAAGGCCAGCAACAUUCUCUUGGACCAGGGCAUGAAUCCCAAAAUUUCUGAUUUUGGGCUAGCAAAAAUUUUCAGCUCCAAUGAUACUCAAGGAAGCACAAAGAGGGUGGUGGGAACAUAUGGUUAUAUGGCUCCGGAGUAUGCAUCUGAAGGCAUUUACUCGAUCAAAUCUGAUGUGUUCAGCUUUGGUGUCUUACUUCUCGAGAUCCUUAGCGGACAAAGGAAUUCUGGUUUCCAUCAGCAUGAAGAUUUUCUUAACCUCCUUGGAUAUUCAUGGCAGCUCUGGGAAGGAGGAAGAUGUUUUGAGCUUCUAGAAGCAUCAAUUACUAAGGAGAUCCAUGCAGCGGAGGCUAGGAGAUACAUUAACAUUGCACUAAUGUGCGUACAAGAGCACGCAGAUGAUCGACCGACCAUGUCAAAUGUCGUUGCGAUGUUAAACAGCGAGAGUGUUAUUCUUCCAGAGCCUAAACAUCCAGCAUACUUCAGCCUAAGGGUAUCCAAGGUAGAUGAAUCGGGUAAUAAUGACGUACCCGUCUGCAGUAAUAACGACUUAACCAUCACUGAGGAGCCAGAUGGCAGAUAG